rnacentral:lncRNA from 1 species
UAGUCUAAAAUUUCUCCCAGUAUUUUUACGAAUUGGUAGCCUCAACCUCUAAUUCGAGGAAUUACUUUAAUUCCUUAGUGGGUACUAGAAUCCACACAGACUACACACGAGCCCAAUUUUGGUUGGUCAACCCAUGUGCAUCUAUGGGUAGGUUCAUAACUAGUUAUUUCUCUAAACAACUUCUAGUAAUUGAUUUUGCCCCAGAACCUAAUCAGUAGGCUUUGGCCUCCACUGAAAAGAUCUGGUUAGAUCCAACCAUUAACAUGAUUUGAUUUGGUGAAUCGGACCAAUAAAUGAUCAGGCCCAACUUUGGCCUGCCAACCUGACCACCAUCAGAAAGACUCAAACCAAAUUAUCAUAUUAUGAAUGAUAAUUUCAUUAGUCAAUAAGCACCAGGCCUUUGGGCCUCCAAUGAUUAUUAAACUAAUG